rnacentral:rRNA from 1 species
UACGUAGGGCGCAAGCGUUGUCCGGAAUUAUUGGGCGUAAAGAGCUCGUAGGCGGCUUGUCACGUCGGGUGUGAAAGACCGGGGCUUAACCCCGGUUCUGCAUUCGAUACGGGCUGGCUAGAGUGUGGUAGGGGAGAUCGGAAUUCCUGGUGUAGCGGUGAAAUGCGCAGAUAUCAGGAGGAACACCGGUGGCGAAGGCGGUCUCUGGGCCGAUACUGACGCUGAGGAGCGAAAGCGUGGGGAGCAAACAGG